rnacentral:rRNA from 1 species
UACGGAGGGUGCAAGCGUUGUUCGGAAUCACUGGGCGUAAAGGGCGUGUAGGCGGCCUGUUAAGUCUGAUGUGAAAUCCCCUCGCUCAACGAGGGAACUGCGUCGGAAACUGGCAGGCUCGAGUACCGGAGAGGAACGCGGAAUUCCAGGUGUAGCGGUGAAAUGCGUAGAUAUCUGGAGGAACACCGGUGGCGAAGGCGGCGUUCUGGACUGCAACUGACACUGAUGAACGAAAGCCAGGGGAGCAAACGGG